UUUUUAUAUAUGUACCUCUUUUUGAUUGUGGACUUGUAGAGCAUUGUUUAUCUAGUUGGCUUCUUGGUGUUGUAAAGAACGUGUUUGUGAUAUCCAUCAAAACAUGUCCAGUACUUCUCAGUACUUUUUCUGAAUCUACAAAAAAAAUCUUGGUAGUUUAAGAUCUAAUGUAUUGAACGAUACAAACUUAGAGUUGGAAGCAGAAUAACCUUUAUUUUUUGCAGAAGUAGGUUUCAUAGGAGGUUGGAUUUCAUCAUUCUUCUCUGUGAUGACAUUUUGAGAAGCAGGAUGUUGGAAUGGCGAUGAUAGAAUUAUGAGCCCUCUUUGAGCCAUAUUUUUGCAAGCCAUCAUUAGAGCCAGAGAUUGUACUUUUUCUCAUCGUUGAUGUGUUUUUUUUACCUAGAUUUCUUUCAUAUACCUAGAUUUCUUUUAAGCGCUUAUUAUGAGGUUUAAAUAAACCUUACAUAAUAAUACCAUGUUCGGUUUGGUUAGUAAUCUAUUUAAACUCACUA